AACGAACGCUGGCGGCAUGCCUAACACAUGCAAGUCGAACGGGAUCCUAGCUUGCUAGGUGAGAGUGGCGGACGGGUGAGUAACACGUGGGAAUCUGCCUUUUGGUUCGGGAUAACCGCGGGAAACUGCGGCUAAUACCGAAUGCCCUCGUGAGAGGAAAGAUUUAUCGCCAGAAGAGGAGCCCGCGUCCGAUUAGGUAGUUGGUGGGGUAAAGGCCUACCAAGCCGACGAUCGGUAGCUGGUCUGAGAGGAUGAUCAGCCACACUGGGACUGAGAUACGGCCCAGACUCCUACGGGAGGCAGCAUGGGGAAUAUUGGACAAUGGGGACAACCCUGAUCCAGCAAUGCCGCGUGUGUGAAGAAGGCC
rnacentral:rRNA from 1 species